rnacentral:rRNA from 1 species
AAUAAGGCUUUUUUGUUGUAAAGUUCUUUUUUAUUUUUUAAUAAUGCUAAAAAAUAAAAAAAGUCCCGGCUAAUACUCGUGCCAGCAGCCGCGGUAAUACGGAGGGGGCUAGCGUUGUUCGGAAUUACUGGGCGUAAAGCGCUCGUAGGCGGAUUGGUCAGUCAGAGGUGAAAGCCCAGGGCUCAACCUUGGAAUUGCCUUUGAUACUGCCAGUCUUGAGUUCAGGAGAGGUAAGCGGAAUUCCGAGUGUAGAGGUGAAAUUCGUAGAUAUUCGGAGGAACACCAGAGGCGAAGGCGGCCACCUGGACUAGAUCUGACGCUCAGGUGCGAAAGCGUGGGGAGCAAACAGGAUUAGAUACCCUGGUAGUCCACGCCGUAAACGAUGAGAGCUAGUUGUCUGGCAGCAUGCUGUUAGGUGACGCAGCUAACGCAUUAAGCUCUCCGCCUGGGGAGUACGGCCGCAAGGUUAAAACUCAAAGAAAUUGACGGGGGCCCGCACAAGCG